rnacentral:lncRNA from 1 species
UAUAGUUCUAGAGAUUGGAUUUUACUCCAAACCUACCAAAUGACUCUUCCCACAAUAUUAUGAUAUUCCCCAAGUGUUGGACUCAAUCCGAUAUUGAUUGGUCCAUGAGAUCAGCCAAUUCAGGUUGUGUGAACUGUGUUCUGAAAUAGGGUGGUUGGUGUAUUAUAUAGUUUUAGCCAUUGGAUUUCUUUCAAAACCCAC